rnacentral:rRNA from 1 species
CAUUUGAAGGUGUCGACCCUGAAUAAAACCCAAGAGUUUCAAGUGAUGACCCUUUUUACAAUUUUCAUAACUUUUGUUCCACAACUUGGAUUUCACUAACUCAAAAACUAAUAUUUUCCUUAUUUAGUCUCGUGUAACUUUCUAGAAUACUUAAACUUCAAAUUAUGUGUUUAACAUAAUCAAAUAUAUGAAAUAAAAACAUCUCUCAAAAUCCAUAAUUCUAUAGUCCGGUUUUCCUUUACCAACUUCAAAUAAACAUAACUUCCUCUCCAGAAGUCCAAUAGAAUAGAUAUACCUGUCAAUAUUCUUAUCUUGACGUUUACUACAACUUUUCAAAAAAAAACUUUGCCAGUUAUUCUCUUUUAAGGAAUGAUAUGAUUGUUACACAGAAACUGCUCUGUUACAAAAUUCCAACCUAUUAUUUGUUCCAACCUUUGGGGUCUAAGAUUCGUAACUUUCUCUAUACGUUUUUAAAUCAAGAAAUUCUUGUUGUUGUAGUUUCAUCUACUAAUCUAUUAAUUCCAUUAGAAGAAAUCAACUUCAUGCUAAGACCCUAAAACUCCGGAAUUAGGUAAAUACCAAUAUUGUUUCCGAUUAGUUAAUUCAUUACUUAUAAGGUGCUAUUUCAUCUCCAUAUUCAUCUUUUCUUAGCACAUUUCAUUCUUUAACCAUAAAACAUUACAUUCACAUAAUGUGAUUGUACAUAAAAAAGUUGGGUGUUACAGAGCGUUCCUGUCAGGACAUGAAAGAUGGUGAUUUAUGCCUUAGCAGGGUGAAGGCAAAGGAAACUUUUAUGGAGGACUACAGUGAUACUAACGUGCAAAUCGUUCGUCUGACUUGGGUAUAGGGGCAAAAGACUGAUUGAACUGUCUAGUAGCUAGUUUCGUCAAAAGUUUCCCUGAGAAUAACUGAAGUCCAUGGGCAAGUUCUAUUUGGUAAAGCCAAUGAUUAGAGCCAUUGGGGGGACAAUAAAAUUGAUCUAUUCUAAAACUUUAAAUUUGUACGACGGUGUGGCUGCUUUCCUGAGCAAUGCCAUAGAAUCGAGAGCUCCAUGGGCCAUUUUUGGAAAGCACAACAAGUGAUGCAUGAUUAACUAAAACUAGGGUUACAGUGCCUAACUGUGCACUAACCUAAAAGGCACAAGGGGUGUUGGUUGAUUAGGACAGCAUGACGGUGGUCUUAGAAGUCAAAAGCCGCUAAAGAGUGUGUAACAACUCACUAGUCAAAUAAAUAGCCCUAAAAAAUGGAUGGCGUUGAAACGCAAAACCUAUACUCAGCCAUCGGGUUAAGUACCAGGUCCCAAUAAAUAGGAGGGUGUGACGGUCGCUGCAAAACCUGGGGCAUGAGCCAAGGCAGAGCAGGCGUCGAUGAAGAUCUUGGUGGUAGUAGCCAAAAUUCAAAUUAGAACUUUGAAAGCCAAAGAGGGGAAAUGUUUCAUGUAAACAGCACUUGCACAUGGGUUAGUCAAUCCUAGGAGUCAGGGUAAUCCCGUCUGACAAUACCCAGUGCACGAGCAUCAAAAGAGAAUAUGGUUAAAUUCUUGUAAUGGGAUGUGGUGGCUGAUGACAACUUUAGGGAGUCCAACGACGUCGUCGGGGACCUCAGGAAGAGUUAUCUUUUUUGUUUGAUAGCCUACCCACCCUUGAAACGGCUUAGCCGGAGGUAGGGUCUAGCGGCUAGAAGAGCAGCGCAUGUUGCACCGUGCUUGAUACGUCCUCGACAACCCUUGAAAAUUUGGAGGACUAAGUGCCACCCAUGCUCGCUUGUUCUAAUAGACGCAUCAGGUCUCCAAGGUGAACAACCUUUGGUCGAUGGAAUAAUUUAGGUAAGGGAAGUCGGCAAAAUUGAUCUGCAACCUCAAAAAAAUUAUUGGCUCUAAGGGUAGAGCAUGAAGGUCCCCAUCCCAAAUCUAUCAGUUGUUGAUUGACUGCUCGAGCUGCUCUCGCGGCGAGAGCGGGUAGUCGUGUGCCAGUUUGGGGACAAGUUGGGAACAUCUCCUUUGUGGGCCGUCCCCGAGCAUCAAACAGUCGACUCAGAACUAGUACAGACAAAUGGAAUCUUACUAGUUAAUUAAAACAAAACAUUGCAAUGGUCCAUGCAGAUGCUCACACAGUGUGAUUUUUACCCAAGUCUUUGAAUAUCAAAGUUAAGAAAUUCAACUGGGUAAACAACAGGAGUAACUAUGACUCUCUUAAGGUUGCCCAAUUAAUUCUCAUAUACUUAGUGACGCACAUGAAUUGAUUAGUAAGAUUUUCAAUGUCUCUUUCUACUAUCUAGUGAAAUAACAACCAAGGGAAGGAGCUUGGUAGAAUCUGCGGGGAAAGAAGACCCUGUUGAGUUUGACUCUAGUACGACUUUGUGAAAUCACCUGUGUAACCUCCUACCUAGCUAGAAAUAUGUUCUUUAUUUUUUUUUACUUGCAGUGGAAAAUAUUUUCUUGAAAAAAUCAUUUAAGGCAUACAUGAAAACUAAAGUCACUUAAAACAUAUUUACAACAUGUUAGGUUUCUUAAACUAUUUACAAGUUAUAUGUACAAAGUUAAAAACUUCUUCUCCUAACCAUUAUUUAAGGUUCUUAAAAAUCUUUGCCCACAGGUCAAAAUCCGCUCAAACAACAUCGACCACCUCCAUGAACAAAGCGAUUUAUCUCGUACACCUCUCAAUGUAUGUCUUUCUCACCUACAUCAUAAAACUCAUCUAUGAGCAUAAGGAUCAACAAGUAGUAUAAAUAUGCAUGAACAUGUACAUGAUAUGCAUAAGUAAAGCUUUUCUUUUUUUUUUUAUUCUGGGUCUUUCAUUCCUUUAAUUUCUAUCAUUCUUUAUCACUGGGGGUUCCUGGCAAGGAACGAGAGAACACAAACUUGAGUCCACCUAAGGGGACAGCAAACUCGAUUCCAAGGGUUGAGAGACCACAAACUUGAGUCCACCUAAGGGGAUAGCCAACUCAAACCUCUUCCCAAUGAUAUUUACGUAACUUUCUCUUUCUUUAUUUUAUCUUCUCUUUCGUUGUAUUUCAAGCUCAACCUGAAACAACCAUUUCAUAUUAUGUUUCAUACGAAAUCUCAUGCAUGUAAAUAGUUCGUAACUUUCUAGAAAACAUGAUGCAUGAGAUGUUUGUGAUAUUAACGUGUCAAACAAUUAAGUAAUAUUCAUAACAUUAAAAUAACAAUCCAUCAUAUCAUAAACCAAAUCAUGCUCUUCUAUAUCAUUUUAUACUAGCAUCU